rfam:Candidatus Stoquefichus sp. KLE1796 genomic scaffold Scaffold270, whole genome shotgun sequence.
AUAUGUAAAUGGCUAAACUAUUGAAAAAUAGUGACGCAAAGCUAUAGGGUCUAAGUCGUAAGAUAAGACAGCCAGUUGCCAAU